GCCCGCAUGGCUCAGUGGUAGAGCGCAUCACUAGUAUCUACAGAUGAAGAUAUGAUGAGGUCGUCAGUUCGAUUCUGGCUGUGGGCA